GAAGGCUGGAAUUUGAAGAAGUGGGAGGCGUGGGAGCGUGAUAUAUCCAAUGUAGAGGGUGCAUGGAAAAAUGUCUAUGAAUUGGAGAAGAACUCGUUGGUAUGUUGCAUAAACUAUUAUAAAGACUAUUUAUCGUUCUUGAAUCUUUACAAAUCUCUAAGUCCUCUAUAGGCACUUCCACGACGUAUGGGCAUGGGAGCCAAGGAGUUCUUGGAACACUUUCCAGAUGAGGCAAUUCGGCAUCAUAUGAGCAUGGAAAUUGGUAAGAUCAUGCAUCAUUUGCCAGAUAGUCCAGAUGAGGUAAAUCUUUAUCAGAAAGUAAUCUACCACUUUUUUCCUUGUUUAAAUAUAAAUUGAACCUACCCCAAUUAGU
rnacentral:lncRNA from 1 species